UGUCUGCUCACACAACCUGUUGCCAUUCA
rnacentral:piRNA from 1 species